rnacentral:rRNA from 1 species
CACGUAGGGUGCGAGCGUUGUCCGGAAUUAUUGGGCGUAAAGAGCUCGUAGGCGGUGUGUCACGUCGGCCGUGAAAACCUGCAGCUUAACUGUGGGCGUGCGGUCGAUACGGGCAUCACUGGAGUUCGGCAGGGGAGACUGGAAUUCCUGGUGUAGCGGUGAAAUGCGCAGAUAUCAGGAGGAACACCGGUGGCGAAGGCGGGUCUCUGGGCCGAUACUGACGCUGAGGAGCGAAAGCGUGGGGAGCAACCAGG